CGGUGAAUACGUUCUCGGACCUUGUACACACCGCCCGUCAAGCCAUGGAAGCUGGGUGUACCUAAAGUCGGUAACCGCAAGGAGCCGCCUAGGGUAAAACUAGUAACUGGGGCU
rnacentral:rRNA from 1 species